ensembl:lncRNA
GAGUAGAUCAGAGGUAUUUGCAAACAGCUCAGGUCUUCUGCCGGAGAAGGCAGUGGCACCCCACUCCAGUACUCUUGCCUGGAAAAUCCCAUGGGUGGAGGAGCCUGGUGGGCUGCCGUCUAUGGGGUACACGGUCAGACACAACUGAAGCGAUUUAGCAGCAGCAGCAUCAGCAGCAGCAGCAGAUCUUCUGUAAUUUCUUGCUAGCAGUAAAACUUGAGGAAGGAUGGUAAAUAGAACUUUGAUCCAAUGGCUGGGCUGUCUACUGGGAAAGCAGCACUAAUACCUGUCAGGCAGGAACCCCUGAAGUGGACAACACAAGAAGAUCCUUUUAUGAAGGCACUGAUUUUCAAGUGUUCCAGUCUCCUGGAGGCAUGUUGUCAUUUCUGAAGCAUUCACAACAUGCAAUGGCAAGAAAGAGAGCCUUUGUUUGCUCUAUUUAAGGAGGAAAAUUGAGAUGCAGCUGGGAGAAGCAGGAAGCAUCCAGUCAGCAAGAUAGCAAGGAGAAUUUAUAUUACAUGGC